rnacentral:rRNA from 1 species
UGAGGAAUAUUGGUCAAUGGGCGCAAGCCUGAACCAGCCAUCCCGCGUGCAGGAAGACGGCGCUAUGCGUUGUAAACUGCUUUUCCAGGGGGAGAAACUUGCGCACGUGUUGCGCAAUUGACGGUACCCUGGGAAUAAGCAUCGGCUAACUCCGUGCUAGCAGCCGCGGUAAUACGGAGGAUGCGAGCGUUAUCCGGAUUCAUUGGGUUUAAAGGGUGCGUAGGCGGACUAUUAAGUCAGUGGUGAAAUCCUGCAGCUUAACUGCAGAACUGCCAUUGAUACUGAUAGCCUUGAGUUUGGUUAAGGUAGGCGGAAUGUGUAAUGUAGCGGUGAAAUGCUUAGAUAUUACGCAGAACACCAAUUGCGUAGGCAGCUUACUGAGCCGACACUGACGCUGAGGCACGAAAGCGUGGGGAUCGAACAG